GAUGAACGCUGGCGGCGUGCCUAAUACACGCAAGUCGAGCGCAGGAAAUCGACGGAACCCUUCGGGGGGAAGUCGACGGAAUGAGCGGCGGACGGGUGAGCAACACGUAAAGAACCUGCCCUCAGGUCUGGGAUAACCACGAGAAAUCGGGGCUAAUACCGGAUGGGUCAUCGGACCGCAUGGUCCGAGGAUGAAAGGCGCUUCGGCGGCGCCGGGGGAUGGCGUUGGGGUGCAUUAGCUAGUUGGUGGGGUAAUGGCCCACCAAGGCGACGAUGCAUAGCCGACCUGAGAGGGUGAUCGGCCACACUGGGACUGAGACACGGCCCAGACUCCUACGGGAGGCAGCAGUAGGGAAUCUUCCACAAUGGACGAAAGUCUGAUGGAGCAACGCCGCGUGAACGAUGAAGGCCUUCGGGUCGUAAAGUUCUGUUGUAAGGGAAGAACAAGUGCCGCAGGCAAUGGCGGCACCUUGACGGUACCUUGCGAGAAAGCCACGGCUAACUACGUGCCAGCCGCCGCGGUAA
rnacentral:rRNA from 1 species